AGGUUCGCUUAGCCGCGAUUAAUUGGGAACUGGAGUGUGAAUCUCCGACUGUCCCGCAGCAGUGAACUCCAUUAUGACUCCUAAGCAUAAACGCCAUUGAGCAGUUGCUUGAGAAGGCGCUUGGGAGCGGAGGAAAGUCUGAAGACCAGCCUUUUACA
rnacentral:ncRNA from 1 species